rnacentral:rRNA from 1 species
GACGUAGGGCGCGAGCGUUGUCCGGAUUUAUUGGGCGUAAAGAGCUCGUAGGCGGCUCGUUGCGUCAACCGUGAAAACCCGGGGCUUAACUUCGGGCUUGCGGUUGAUACGGGCGGGCUGGAGUUCGGUAGGGGAGACUGGAAUUCCUGGUGUAGCGGUGAAAUGCGCAGAUAUCAGGAGGAACACCGGUGGCGAAGGCGGCAUCCUGGACCGACACUGACGCUGAGGAGCGAAAGCCAGGGGAGCAAACGGG